rnacentral:rRNA from 1 species
UUGUCGCUGUGAGAAGUUCAUUAAACCUUAUCAUUUAGAGGAAGGAGAAGUCGUAACAAGGUUUCCGUAGGUGAACCUGCGGAAGGAUCAUUGAACACACGAUCUCGGAAAAACUCUGCGAACCGUUAUAAGUACCCCGAGGGACCGUGUCCGGAGACACGGUCGUCGAUGUCGGAGUCCGGAUUCAUGUGCACAUCCGCCUUGAUCCCUCCCCGUUGGUGCGUGGCGGGAUUCAGUGUGACUCCAACGGCGUCGUCGGAUCGCCCCACAGCACGCACGAUUUCCGGCUCCCAGUCGGGAUUCGGGGGCGCGUCCCCUCCUCCGAGGGAGGGGGAGUCCCGACCCGGAGUCUCUCUCUGCCCAAGGCAGGGCGAGCUCCGGGUCCGGAUCGCUCCCCACUCUCCCUCGGGGCCCUUUUUUUCUUCACUCUCCCGAGAGAAACCCGGUGAAACAAGAAAUUUGGAUGGAUUGACCCAAGGGGGGGCUCGGGAUCGCCUCGGCGGUCUCGAGUCCCUCCGGGCGUCAUUGUGAAAAAACACAAAUGACUCUCAACAACGGAUAUCUUGGCUCUUGCAACGAUGAAGAACGCAGCGAAAUGCGAUACCUAGUGUGAAUUGCAGAAUUCCGCGAAUCAUCGAGUUUUUGAACGCAAGUUGCGCCCGAGGCUCGUCUGAGGGCAUGCCUGCCUGAGCGUCCGCUCCGACCCACCCACCAGCCUCCCUCUCCUUCGCGAGAGGGAGGCGAAGGUGAGAGUGAAAUUGGUCGUCCGGGGACCCGAUCGCCUCUACGGAGACGGCACGAGGAUCCGCGGUUGGCUGAAAAAUGCGAGCCGUUCGUCAAGCGCGCGCUGGGGGUUUCGGUGCGUAGCGAGAAGGUGGCGUUUUUGCCUCUCGGUCGUUCUGCGACCAAAGGCGAACGUUGGUGACAAAGCUGCGCGUCUCCCUCGGCGGAGUCGGGACUUGGCGGAUUUGGCGAAGUUUUUUUUAACAUGGGAAGCGGGAGAGACCCGGCGGUUCCCUCCGUCAUCGGAGGGAUCCCGAGUUCCGAACGCUGCGUUGCUCGGACCUCAGAUCAGGCAAGACCACCCGCUGAGUUUAAGCAUAUCACUAAGCGGAGGAAAAGAAACUAACAAGGAUUUCCCUAGUAACGGCGAGCGAACCGGAAGUAGCCC